GGCAGAGGAAGUUCAUCAGCGUGGUCACGUGCUCAGUGCUCACUGCCCCCGGGAAGGUCUGAGACUGGGACCUCCGGAGGCCCCAACCAGGCUCUCCCCUAGUGGGAAGGCAAGUUCCCAGAGAGCAGGGCUCCACACGUGGGUAGACUGGGCAGGAGAAGCCCCAAGUGGGCCGAUGCCUCCCUCACCAGAGCUUGAAACAAAGAAUUCAACUGCCCUGAAUCCAGAUGUAAAGCCCACAUGUU
ensembl:ribozyme RNaseP_nuc Nuclear RNase P